AAGAGAUCAUCUUAAGGGUAUUACUGUCCGACGAGCCUUCGUCACGACAAUGACAUUCUCAAGAAGGAUCCAUGACUCUAGGAACCUACCAACUGUAGAGAUACCAAUGAUUUACCUCUUAUCAUGACCAACCUGUGAACUUACUUAUUCUUGUGCUCCUGAAUAUUGCAUUGCAUUUCCUUGCAUAUCUAAACAUGACAAAAAUUUCAUGCAUUCGUAUUCCAUCAGCAUGCAUGCAUAUCAUUUCCCAUUACAAAAAAACUCAUCC
rnacentral:lncRNA from 1 species